rnacentral:rRNA from 1 species
GAUGAACGCUGGCGGCGUGCUUAACACAUGCAAGUCGAACGAUGAAGCCCAGCUUGCUGGGUGGAUUAGUGGCGAACGGGUGAGUAACACGUGAGUAACCUGCCCUUGACUCUGGGAUAAGCCUGGGAAACUGGGUCUAAUACUGGAUAUGACUUCUCAUCGCAUGGUGGGGGGUGGAAAGAUUUAUUGGUCUUGGAUGGACUCGCGGCCUAUCAGCUUGUUGGUGAGGUAAUGGCUCACCAAGGCGACGACGGGUAGCCGGCCUGAGAGGGUGACCGGCCACUCUGGGACUGAGACACGGCACAGACUCCUACGGGAGGCAGCAGUGGGGAAUAUUGCACAAUGGGCGCAAGCCUGAUGCAGCGACGCCGCGUGAGGGAUGACGGCCUUCGGGUUGUAAACCUCUUUCAGUAGGGAAGAAGCGAGAGUGACGGUACCUGCAGAAGAAGCGCCGGCUAACUACGUG